GGGCGCAAGCCUGAUGCAGCCAUGCCGCGUGUGUGAAGAAGGCCUUCGGGUUGUAAAGUACUUUCAGUCGUGAGGAAGGCGGCGUCGUUAAUAGCGGCGUUGUUUGACGUUAGCGACAGAAGAAGCACCGGCUAACUCCGUGCCAGCAGCCGCGGUAAUACGGAGGGUGCGAGCGUUAAUCGGAAUUACUGGGCGUAAAGCGCAUGCAGGUGGUUUGUUAAGUCAGAUGUGAAAGCCCGGGGCUCAACCUCGGAAUAGCAUUUGAAACUGGCAGACUAGAGUACUGUAGAGGGGGGUAGAAUUUCAGGUGUAGCGGUGAAAUGCGUAGAGAUCUGAAGGAAUACCGGUGGCGAAGGCGGCCCCCUGGACAGAUACUGACACUCAGAUGCGAAAGCGUGGGGAGCAAACAGGAUUAGAUACCCUGGUAGUCCACGCCGUAAACGAUGUCUACUUGGAGGUUGUGGCCUUGAGCCGUGG
rnacentral:rRNA from 1 species